rnacentral:misc_RNA from 1 species
GAAAACUCCUUGUUCCAUUAGAAAUUUCAUUUGGAUUGUCAAUUGUUUUUAUGACAUCCAAUAAAACUGAGAUUACAGAAGAAAAAAAACAUGCCUGUGAACUCAAAUCCUCACAUUUACAUUUGCUUCCGAGUUCGCUAGCUAAGGAGAGAGACUAAGGAAGAACUUAUAUGUAGAGCUCGAAGAGAGGACUAACUAAACGUUUGCACCUCGGGAGAUAGAUACAGAUAAUCUUUCGAAAGAGAAGAUUGAUGUACAGCAGCAUUCGCCUCAUAAGAGACGACAAAGGCUGCAAAAGAUUCAUGCUAACCAAACAUCGUCCAUAUUAACCCUGCCUCCUUCUCCGGCAUUGUAUCAUGUACCAUGUCCGAGCCAUUACAUAACAAGGGAGGAGGAAAGCCGCCAGCUGAAGAAGUGAAAUCUGAAAAUUGAAGAAGGUUGAUGGGUCCUGCACCAUUGCAAAGUCCCUCGUGACCAUCAAGGUUUGACGUAUCAGCAAGAGUAGCAUCAAAAUGAUUGCAACAUAGCGGAAACAUGCUAGACUCCCACUGCUAGCAAUGGCAUAAUCAUCAUACUCUGAUUGCAGGAAUUGACGCUCAGCAGCAGCAAAAGCUAGAAAAUGAGGAUUUCUAAUAUCCAUGCCCGGUCCCCAUGCUUGCCUGAUAUCAAUUGCCAUUACAUCAGGGUUGCUUCUUGCCGGUGGAAGGGUGUAGUUUGGUGAAAACACCUUAUUACAGAUUUCACAGGUGAUGUCACCUUUUUUGUUGCACCAUUUCUGAAUACAUUUCCUAUGAGCAAAUUUGAGAGUGCCAUUACAAGCACAAGGAGCUUCCAUAUCAGUUUCUUCAUCUUCUUCUUGACAAAUCCUACACUCUCUAACACUACUACUACUACUACCCUUUGAAGAACCUUCUCCACCAACACAAGUACUAGUACUAAUACUAAUUUUUUCUUGAUGGGUUUUUCUUGAAUUGAUGAUUUCAACAGUAGAAU